rnacentral:rRNA from 1 species
AACGUAGGACGCAAGCGUUAUCCGGAGUUACUGGGCGUAAAGCGCGGGCAGGCGGUCUUGCCAGUCUGAUGUGAAAUCUCCUCGCUCAACGGGGAGCAGCCAUUGGAAACUACAAGACUGGAGUCUGACAGAGGUAGGCGGAAUUCCGGGUGGAGUGGUGAAAUGCGUAGAGAUCCGGAGGAACACCAGAGGCGAAGGCGGCCUACUGGGUCAGUACUGACGCUGAGGAGCGAAAGCGUGGGGAGCAAACAGG